AGAGUUUGAUCCUGGCUCAGAGCGAACGCUGGCGGCAGGCCUAACACAUGCAAGUCGAACGGGCCCUUUCGGGGGUCAGUGGCAGACGGGUGAGUAACGCGUGGGAACGUGCCCAUCGGUUCGGGAUAACCCAGGGAAACUUGGGCUAAUACCGGAUACGCCCUUUUGGGGAAAGAUUCAUUGCCGAUGGAUCGGCCCGCGUCUGAUUAGCUAGUUGGUGAGGUAACGGCUCACCAAGGCGACGAUCAGUAGCUGGUCUGAGAGGAUGAUCAGCCACACUGGGACUGAGACACGGCCCAGACUCCUACGGGAGGCAGCAGUGGGGAAUAUUGGACAAUGGGCGCAAGCCUGAUCCAGCCAUGCCGCGUGAGUGAUGAAGGCCUUAGGGUUGUAAAGCUCUUUCACCCACGACGAUAAUGACGGUAGUGGGAGAAGAAGCCCCGGCUAACUUCGUGCCAGCAGCCGCGGUAAUACGAAGGGGGCUAGCGUUGCUCGGAAUCACUGGGCGUAAAGGGCGCGUAGGCGGCCGAUCAAGUCAGGGGUGAAAGCCUGUGGCUCAACCACAGAAUUGCCUUUGAUACUGUUUGGCUCGAGACCGGAAGAGGUCGGUGGAACUGCGAGUGUAGAGGUGAAAUUCGUAGAUAUUCGCAAGAACACCAGUGGCGAAGGCGGCCAACUGGUCCGGUUCUGACGCUGAGGCGCGAAAGCGUGGGGAGCAAACAGGAUUAGAUACCCUAGUAGUCC
rnacentral:rRNA from 1 species